rnacentral:lncRNA from 1 species
UGUGCUAGGACAAUACAUGGUAUGCUUGACCCAACCCACAUUAUAAGAAGGUUGGUCUGACACUUCUAUGGGUUAGAUUGGGCUCAAGUUAAAACUUUGACUCGGUCUAAAAUUAGGCCGAGCUCGACGCACUACCAGAAGGAUAGAAGGAAGAAGUUAUAACGGUGAAUGCCUUUUGUCAUACUUACCGCAAGAUUGCAUCAUGUGGUCC